rnacentral:rRNA from 1 species
UGAGGAAUAUUGGUCAAUGGGCGGAAGCAUGAACCAGCCAUGCCGCGUGCGGGAAGAAGGCCCUACGGGUUGUAAACCGCUUUUCCCCGGGAAGAAUAACCCCGACGCGUCGGGGGAUGCCGGUACCGGGGGAAUAAGGAUCGGCUAACUCCGUGCCAGCAGCCGCGGUAAUACGGAGGAUCCGAGCGUUAUCCGGAUUUACUGGGUUUAAAGGGUGCGUAGGCGGCCCUGCAAGUCAGCGGUGAAAUGUGGCGGCUCAACCGUUUCGCUGCCGCUGAUACUGUAGGGCUUGGAUGCGGUCGAGGCGGGUGGAAUUCGUGGUGUAGCGGUGAAAUGCAUAGAUAUCACGAGGAACGCCGAUAGCGAAGGCAGCUCGCCGGGCCGCGAUCGACGCUGAGGCACGAAAGCGUGGGGAUCAAACAG